AAUAGAUACCCGGGUAGUCCACGCCCUAAACGAUGUCAACUAGCUGUUGGGGACUUCGGUCCUUGGUAGCGCAGCUAACGCGUGAAGUUGACCGCCUGGGGAGUACGGUCGCAAGAUUAAAACUCAAAGGAAUUGACGGGGACCCGCACAAGCGGUGGAUGAUGUGGAUUAAUUCGAUGCAACGCGAAAAACCUUACCUACCCUUGACAUGUCUGGAAUGCCGAAGAGAUUUGGCAGUGCUCGCAAGAGAACCGGAACACAGGUGCUGCAUGGCUGUCGUCAGCUCGUGUCGUGAGAUGUUGGGUUAAGUCCCGCAACGAGCGCAACCCUUGUCAUUAGUUGCUACGAAAGGGCACUCUAAUGAGACUGCCGGUGACAAACCGGAGGAAGGUGGGGAUGACGUCAAGUCCUCAUGGCCCUUAUGGGUAGGGCUUCACACGUCAUACAAUGGUCGGGACAGAGGGCUGCCAACCCGCAAGGGGGAGCCAAUCCCAGAAACCCGAUCGUAGUCCGGAUCGCAGUCUGCAACUCGA
rnacentral:rRNA from 1 species